UCCGAGGUCGUCUAACGGCAGGACGCCGGACUUUGGAUCCGGAAGUGCUGGUUCGAGUCCAGCCCUCGGCGCCA
rnacentral:tRNA from 1 species